rnacentral:rRNA from 1 species
AUUGAACGCUGGCGGCAGGCUUAACACAUGCAAGUCGAACGAGUGGCGGACGGGUGAGUACUGCUUGGGAAUCUCGCUUAUGGAGGGGGAUAACUCCUGGAAACUGUAGCUAAUACCGCGUACCAUAGGAUGAGCCCAAGUGGGAUUAGGUAGUUGGUGAGGUAAAGGCUCACCAAGCCGACGAUCGCUAGCUGGUCUGACAGGAUGACCAGCCACACUGGGAAUGAGACACGGCCCAGACUCCUACGGGAGGCAGCAGUGGGGAAUAGUGCGCAAUGGGGGAAACCUGACGCAGCCAUGCCGCGUGAAUGAAGAAGGCCUUCGGGUUGUAAAGUACUUUCGGUAGCGAGGCGUUAACUACAGAAGAAGCACCGGCUAACUCCGUGCCAGCAGCCGCGGUAAUAC